rnacentral:rRNA from 1 species
GACGAACGCUGGCGGCGUGCUUAACACAUGCAAGUCGAACGGAAAGGCCCUGCUUGCAGGGUAUUCGAGUGGCGAACGGGUGAGUAACACGUGGGUGAUCUGCCCUGCACUUCGGGAUAAGCCUGGGAAACUGGGUCUAAUACCGGAUAGGAGCCAUUUUUAGUGUGAUGGUUGGAAAGUUUUUUCGGUGUAGGAUGAGCUCGCGGCCUAUCAGCUUGUUGGUGGGGUAAUGGCCUACCAAGGCGGCGACGGGUAGCCGGCCUGAGAGGGUGGACGGCCACAUUGGGACUGAGAUACGGCCCAGACUCCUACGGGAGGCAGCAGUGGGGAAUAUUGCACAAUGGGCGCAAGCCUGAUGCAGCGACGCCGCGUGGGGGAUGACGGCCUUCGGGUUGUAAACUCCUUUCGCUAGGGACGAAGCCUUUUGUGACGGUACCUAGAUAAGAAGCACCGGCUAACUACGUG